GCUGCGGCCCUCAUCUGUUGGCACCUUUGGUCACUUCGGCUCCACUGCGGACGACUCAGCUGCUGACCAAGGAGUGGCAGACAUUUUCACAGAUGAGGGGCUCAGGGGCUUCGGAGACAGAACAUUCAGAUCAUGAAAGGAGCAGGGAAUUCAUUAAGGGGAUUCACUCCCAGAAACGGGAUGGCGAGCUGAGGGGAAGCUCCUAAAAGCAGCCUAGACGUAGCUUUUCCAGAGAGUUCAAGAGCAUAUGUCUAAAGAACUUACAAGGUUACGCGGAUCCCCUACUGGCUUAGGAGCUCCCAACAUUUAACUGCUCAGGCAGUUAAUACCUCAACCCAACAUUCUACCAGAGCAUCCCACGUCAGCAGCCUUUAAGAAGGUCCGUGAUCUUUCAUGAAGUCGGGAAGAUAAAUCUGACAAUGGACCAAAACCUCCCACGGCCUCUCCUGCUCCGCUGCGGACUCUAGCGGUGUUUCCGUCUGUACCCCCGGGCUCACUUUUCCUUCCGGGAAAUGCUCCACUGUGCUCUCUAGAAACCUGAAGCGCACAAAACACCCCUCGGGUAGAGGGUGCUGUUCAGUGUACCCUGGGGUGCAUCCAAGGGGUUUUGUAAAUGGUGAGGUAAUGCUGCAAGGAGGCGAACAGCCUGCCUAUGGUUGGACGUUAACCUAUAAACUGCCGCUGAAAUGGAAUUUUUCAGAGGUUGUAAGUACCACCCACACAUACUUAGUUUUUACUGAUCCUAGAGAAAAACCGAAAAAGCAAUGGAGUCAUUUUGAAGAUUCCGACUCCUCCACUCUUAUCCACCCCAUAGUGCCGGCAGGACAUCGCAUUCUUGCAGCCUCUCUGCGCUAGAAGACAUGUUUUCCUCACUCAACAUGGUGGGGUAGAAGGAUGCGAGAUUGCUGGUCCAAUAUCACCUAAGACUGAUGUGACGGAAUAGGCGCCCUGACGCCAAUGAGAGUGGGAGAGAGAAGGUGUCGUCGGUGGAUUAGGCCCAGCAUGAGCCUCGCUGACUGAACCCAGGGCAGCUCCUGAAAGCCUGCCAUCCCAGGUCCAGCUUGGAGUCUCAUUUUAUGCGCGAAAACCUCAAGGUGGAGUGAAGCAGCAAGCAGGAUUUUCCGGAGGUGAACGCAGCCGUCAGCAGGUUAUAAGGGGUGAUGACCCUCUGUAUGAGCCGUUUCUCCAGGGCGUCCUUUUCCAGGUAGUAAGAGAAGCCGUGCUUGGCCAAGCAGUGCUUUACGUCAGUCACUAAGUAAAUGGACAGAACAGUAAUUAGUAAUUGGUCUUCCCUACCUUGGUCUGCUUCCCUGAGAAUUCCGUGCCCCUGCCUCCUUAGUAAGCAGAGAAGGCCGGUUCAUAACCCUGCUGGGGUGAUGGCAAAGCCAUGCGUCAUCCGUGCCAUCUCACCAGGGUGGCAGUGAGUCUUAAAUAUAUUUAUUUGUUAUUCAUUUUUGUACCAGUCAACACCUUCUUCGUGUUUUCUCGUUUCGAUUCUAAUUUGAACGCAAAGUACUUUCUUCAUCCUGCUUCGCCUAUGAACAUUAAGAAAAAAAAACUCAUCUAAUUUAUGCAAACUGUGUUUAUGUGGGAGUUUAAUGUUGGGAGAGGUUAGAAAAAGCCUUAAAGGGGGAGGAGGGCUCCUCCUUCCUGAGAACUAGGGGAGGAGGAUAGGGUGGGAUGAGAUGAGGGAGGGAGGGACCUAUGAUUGAAAUGUUACGUGAAUAAUUUAAAAAAAUAAAUAAAAUUAAAAAUUAAAAAAAAAGAAGAAAAAAAGAAAGAAAACGACAGGAAAGCUGGGCUUGGUGGUAAACUCCCUUGAUCCUAGCACUUGGGAGGCAAAGGCAGGCUGUUACCUUUUAAUUUAAAGCCAGCCUGGUCUACAAAGUGAGAUCCAGGCUAGCCAGGGCUACACAGUAAGAUCUUGUUUCAAACAAACAAAAAAGAAAAAGGAAGAUUUCAUGGGCCAUAGGGAGGCGACAGGAGAUGGGGAGUUUUGGCAGCUGGUGUAAAUUCAGAAUGUGAAAUUGCUUUGUGCUCAGCUUCCGGGAGAAAUUCUGGGCUCUGGUGGAUACUAUAUAAAUGCUAUUCAGGAUUAGGCUGAGUUAUGGGUCUGAGGUUUUGGGGAGCCACCCAAUGCCAAGAAUCAGCACUCUUAGCUUACGAUUAGUCACCUCCUAUCUGAGACAUGGUUCUCAAGUCUCCAGAUCAAGAAUGGCUUUGUUCUGUUUUCUAUCAGACAGAAAUGGAUUCCAAAAUUAGAUUUAAAACUCAGUGCCAGAGCUAAAGUGAUAUACAGGGCACAUGGAACAAGGGUUUUGUGGGAAGAUAGUAGGGCAGAAUCAUCACCAGAUUCUAGUACUUUUAGAAUGCAAACAUGAAAAUACGUGGAAUCAGAGCUGUGGCUUCAGGAAUGUCAUCAUGUCCCUUCAGUGUCCUCUGUAAGAAAUAUCAAAUGUUAUAACACUUGUGUUUAGGACAAGGAAUUAAAAUCUUUUCAUCUCCCUCA